GCAUGAGACUCUUAAUCUCAGGGUCGUGGG
rnacentral:piRNA from 3 species